rnacentral:rRNA from 1 species
UACGUAGGGUGCGAGCGUUGUCCGGAAUUACUGGGCGUAAAGAGCUCGUAGGUGGUUUGUCGCGUUGUCCGUGAAAACUCACAACUCAAUUGUGGGCGUGCGGGCGAUACGGGCAGACUGGAGUACUGCAGGGGAGACUGGAAUUCCCGGUGUAGCGGUGGAAUGCGCAGAUAUCGGGAGGAACACCCGUAGCGAAGGCGGUUCUCUGGGCCAAUACUGACGCUGAGGAGCGAAAGCGUGGGGAGCAAACAGG